rnacentral:lncRNA from 1 species
CGUUCAGGCACAUCUUCCCGGAGCGCAUUCCUGCGCACUCUUGGCCACCAGCGGGGUUUCUUGUUUUCUGGGCCGACCUGAGCUUCCCCAGGGUCUUCCCCUGAGUUCCGAUUGAGGCUUCUUUACAGCCCCCUUCACCUAUUCCCCCUGAGAGAAGAGGCUGGAGAAAGUGUUUCCAGUCCAAAGGAAAAGGGGAUCCCCUGCUGGCUCUUUUUGGAGGUCGAUGUCUUUACUCAUUCAUUCCACACACCUUCUGAGCCAUUCGCGGAGUUUACAUAACCGAGCGGUCGCCAUCUCUGCCUCACAGGGCUCAUCAGUGCUGAGGGAUGAGACGUAGAAGCUAAGAUGGUCUGACCAAAGCUCUCAGACGGGGAAGUUAAGUGAUGGGAAGCAAGUAGAAGGUCUCUAAGCCAAAGUGACAUCGAAUGUGUCAUCCUCUCGAAGCUGUAGGUUUCAGUCUUGGAUCCCAUCACAUGUUACCUGCUGUAGGAAGAUAUUCCUGCAUUUCUGAGGGCACAGACCAUCAUGAAGGCUCGGUUAAAAGGAGCACAGACUGGUCGAAACCUCCUGAAGAAAAAGUCUGAUGCCUUAACUCUUCGAUUUCGACAGAUCCUGAAGAAGAUAAUAGAGACUAAGAUGCUGAUGGGUGAGGUGAUGAGAGAAGCUGCCUUCUCAUUGGCUGAGGCCAAAUUCACAGCAGGGGACUUCAGAUGGCGAGUGGAUGACAUCAGAGGAAAGUUAGGAUAAAGACUACAUAGCAGCUCACCAACUGAACAGCAAACCUCCAAGGAAAGGAAGUUCCUGCUAGGAAUACAUCCUCCAGAGUCACAUUUCUACUCACCGAAACACCAGCCAUCCACAUACUUUAAAUGUACUUAUCCUGUACUGAUUCAGCUGUUGUUAGUUCUGCACUGAGGGCCUCCAUUACCUCUGUUGAGUUUUCUUUUCUGGAAUAAAGAUGAUUACUGGGGGCUGGCAAGAUGGCUCAGUGGUUAAGAACACUGGUGGUCUUCCAGAGGUCCUGAGUUCAGUUCCCAGCAACCACAUGGUGGCUCACAACCAUCUGUAAUGGGAUCUGAUGCCCUCUUCUGGUGUCAUUGACGAUAGAGCGCGUGUACACACACACACACACACACACACACAAUCUUUAAAAAAAUGAUUACUGACACAUAAUGUAAUGUCUUAUUCCUUGUUUCAUCAUCCAGUGUGUCCUUGUAGAGUUAUUUUUGCAAACAAGGCUGAAUAAAGACUGCCUCGCUCUCUUUCCUUCCCUCCUAGCACCACAGUUAUACAAAAUGUAAAUAAAGCCCAGGUGAAGAUCCGAGCAAAGAAAGACAAUGUAGCAGGUGUCACCUUACCAGUGUUUGAACAUUACCACGAAGGAACUGACAGCUAUGAACUAACCGGUUUAGCCAGAGGUGGGGAGCAGCUGGCGAAACUUAAGCGGAAUUAUGCCAAAGCAGUGGAACUACUGGUGGAACUGGCUUCCCUGCA